CGAACGCUGGCCCGCGUGCUUAACACAUGCAAGUCGACCGCGAACGUCUUUUUCGGAAGACAAGUAGAGUGGCGCACGGGUGAGUAACGCGUAAGUAAUCUACCCUCGCAUCUGGGAUAACCCACCGAAAGGUGAGCUAAUACCGGAUACGCUGAUUUAUCAGGAAAGAUGGCCUCUGAUUUAAGCUAUCGUGCGGGGAGGAGCUUGCGUACCAUUAGCUAGUUGGUAGGGUAAUGGCCUACCAAGGCGACGAUGGUUAGCGGGUCUGAGAGGAUGAUCCGCCACACUGGAACUGGAACACGGACCAGACUCCUACGGGAGGCAGCAGUGAGGAAUAUUGCGCAAUGGGGGAAACCCUGACGCAGCGACGCCGCGUGAACGAUGAAGGCUCUCGAGUCGUAAAGUUCUGUCAGAUGGGAAGAAAUGCUGGUUACUUAAUACGUAUCUAGUUUGACGGUACCAUCAAAGGAAGCACCGGCUAACUCCGUGCCAGCAGCCGCGGUAAUACGGAGGGUGCAAGCGUUGUUCGGAAUUACUGGGCGUAAAGCGCGCGUAGGCGG
rnacentral:rRNA from 1 species